CGUUAAGCGAUGUUGACUGGAGGUUGUUCCCUUGAGGCGUGCUUUCGGAGUUAACGCGUUAAUUAGCCCGCCUUGGGAGUAGGGGCGCAAGGUUAAAACUCAAAAUGAAUUGUCGGGGGGCCCGACAAGGGGUGAGCAUGGGGUUUAAUUCGAUGCAAUGCGAAGAACCUUACCUACUCUUGACAUCCAGAGAACUUUGCAGAGGUGCUUUGGGGCCUUCAGGAACUCUGAGACAGGUACUGCAUGGCUGUCGUCAGCUCGUGUUGUGAAAUGUUGGGUUAAGUCCCGCAACGAGCGCAACCCUUAUCCUUUGUUGCCAGCGGUUAGGCCGGGAACUCAAAGGAGACUGCCAGUGAUAAACUGGAGGAAGGUGGGGAUGACGUCAAGUCAUCAUGGCCCUUACGAGUAGGGCUACACACGUGCUACAAUGGCGCAUACAAAGAGAAGCGACCUCGCGAGAGCAAGCGGACCUCAUAAAGUGCGUCGUAGUCCGGAUUGGAGUCUGCAACUUGACUCCAAGAAGUCGGAAUCGCUAGUAAUCGUAGAUCAGAAUGCUACGGUGAAUACGUUCCCGGGCCUUGUACACACCGCCCGUCACACCAUGGGAGUGGGCGCAAAAGAAGCAGGUAGGUUUCUCCCGGGUGGGGGGGAAACAAAGUGGAUGCCGGGUCAGNGGU
rnacentral:rRNA from 1 species